AUACCAUCAUCUCAAAGACAGGCUGCUACACUUGAAAUCACCAUAUUUUAGAUGAAGCGAAAACAACGUCCAAUCACACUUGCAAGAGCAUGCUAUAGAUUUCAACCAUUUUCAUCUAGGAAAUUCUGGCCCUUCUGAGAAGCAGAAUGGCUUUUCAGAUUUGAAUGGAAUCACUACAGAAUCGUUCCGCCCCCCUGACACAGCCCUACACUAGCCUGCCCCCACAUUACUGGCAGGGAGAGGGCUGGCUGUGUGGAAGAUCCCUGUGGUAGCAGCCCUGGAACAAGCCAGGAGACAGGCUGCGAUUCCAGGUUCUCCCUAACCCCACCUCCACGAGCAACUUCCCUUUUCUUAUCAUCAUCAUCAUCUGUACUGUGGUCCCCCAACAGGAUUCAGGCCACGCAGUGCUGAGCACCGGGCAACGAAAGGUAACAACGGGAUCCCUACAAGCGAAACAGAGAGGGUAGCUAUUAUCAAGCUGCCUGCAGCGUCAAAUGGAGCCUGCACCAGCCACAGGAUUGACGCAAGAGAGGGGGACGUUAGCUGGAGGAAGCCAGUGUGGCAGCCAGUUUAAACGGAGACUGCUAAGUGGACAAUACUCACUCUCCCUCCAGUUUAGCUAAUUCUAUAUUUAUUUCCAGCUGGAACAAGCACUCCUUAAAUCCUGGCAGCAAUGACUGGGGCAGUUAGAAAGGAGUCAAAAGUGCCACCAUCUUGGAAAACAUCGGGAUGAUCCAGCAGCGCCCUCCUCCAAGCUCUUCUUCAGCACUUCUCUCUCUCCAGGCAAACCCCUACGCCUCCCCUUUAAGAAACGGUACCAGCCACAAACUCAAAAAUUCUCAGAACCACCAUGACACUUCCAGCACCAGCAAGAGAGGCUGCAGUCAUCUCUCGUCCUCCACUCCACUAAUGAGCUUCUCCAGUUACCGCUGCCUAGACUGAAAGAGCGCUUUGUUCCAGCUGGAAGAAAGUUUAGAGUUAGCUGAAAUGGAAGGAGGAGUAAAUCUCCAUGCCCCAACCAAACAAGAUGACAUCCAUUGCAUCCUCCACUUUUAACAGAGGCCAGAAAAAGGGCAUCUUCUUGGCAGUAUUAGACUCAACCACUCUACUGGAAAACCACUGUUAGCUGGGAUUAAACCACCUUGCACUCA